AGAACGAACGCUGGCGGCACGCCUAACACAUGCAAGUCGAGCGCCCAGCAAUGGGAGCGGCGGACGGGUGAGUAACACGUGGGAACAUGCCUUUCGGUACGGAACAACUGCGGGAAACUGCAGCUAAUGCCGUAUACGCCCUUACGGGGAAAGAUUUAUCGCCGAAAGAUUGGCCCGCGUCUGAUUAGCUAGUUGGUGAGGUAACGGCUCACCAAGGCUUCGAUCAGUAGCUGGUUUGAGAGAACGACCAGCCACAUUGGGACUGAGACACGGCCCAAACUCCUACGGGAGGCAGCAGUGGGGAAUCUUGGACAAUGGGGAAACCCUGAUCCAGCGAUGCCGCGUGAGUGAUGAAGGCCUUCGGGUUGUAAAACUCUUUCGACGGGGACGAUAAUGACGGUACCCGUAGAAGAAGCUCCGGCUAACUUCGUGCCAGCAGCCGC
rnacentral:rRNA from 1 species